UACGGGGGGGGCAAGCGUUGUUCGGAAUUACUGGGCGUAAAGGGCUCGUAGGCGGCCAACUAAGUCGGACGUGAAAUCCCUCAGCUUAACUGGGGAACUGCGUCUGAUACUGGAUGGCUUGGAUUCGGGAGAGGGAUGCGGAAUUCCAGGUGUAGCGGUGAAAUGCGUAGAUAUCUGGAGGAAUACCGGUGGCGAAGGCGGCAUCCUGGACCGGCAUUGACGCUGAUGAGCGAAAGCUAGGGGAGCAAACGGG
rnacentral:rRNA from 1 species